rnacentral:lncRNA from 1 species
CUGGUCUCAAACUCCCGACCUCAGGUGAUCCAUCCGCCUUGGCCUCCCGAAACAAUGCAUUUCUUUGUUUUGAACCAUGUACUCCUUUUAAGGCAGCUUUUUCUUCCUGUUGUUCCAGAUUUCUUUUUAUGAAAAUAUGAAGAGUGGAGAAUGUGGCCUUCCACUCCCAAUAGCAGGAAAAUAGAAAUUCUUCUCUAAGAAAUGGCAUUGGUGCAUUGGGAGACUAAAGUUGCAGUGAUCGGAUGCCUAUAUUAAUCCCAAAGAGUCAUCAUUUGAAAAAUUGAAUUUAAGUCUGAAAUAAAACAUCCAUAAAAUUGAACUGUAGUCUCUUUUCUUUACUUUCUCAGGCUAAACCCCUUGUUUUUCCAUUUGUUGGCCAAUGAAGGCUUCUCAUGGAA